rnacentral:piRNA from 1 species
UGCCAUUCAUUUGCUAGUGUUUUGAAUAUA